GAGGCAGAGGUGGGCGUCCACAGAACAGGGUGUCACCAUGAGGGCGCUCGGCUUGUUAACUUAAUCUGCUAGGGGGCUGAAAAAUGGAGACGGUGUGUGGUGUCUGGGUGAUAGCAGGAAACAAACUCGGCGGAAAUAGAGUCAGAGAAGGCAAGAUUAAUCCCUUUAGUGAGGGAAAAGAGAAAGUGGAAUGUCUAAGGGCUAUCAACACCUCUGCUCCAACACGCUGGGUAAUUUCAUGGAAAUUGAAAAGUCCAAAUUGCUACAACAGUAAGACACACAUCUGACAGGAGAACGUGGCCCGGAGCUGGGGGGCCCAGAGGCAGACAGAGGAUUGUCAGCAGAGUCCCAUUUCUCCCGGAUUAAGUCAGUCACUGUACUCAAAGACAUACAGGAGGGCGUCGUGCCAGACUUUCCAACAACUCAGAUAUUGGAGUCUCAAAAGGCCCCUUCACACCAUAAAGAGAAUUGAGUGUACCCUGGUCCUAUCACAGGUCAUUGUCCCGUUGACUGCCUGCCUAUCGAAUGUACUGAAUGAGCAGAGAACACAACAGAAAGGUAAUUGCACUCUGAAUGAAAAGCAAGCGAUCUACUGCCGCUAAUGAUGUUUGAAACAAAGUAUAAGAAGAAGGAAGACCUGGUUCUGAAUGCUCCAGGAACCACAGGAUGUGAUGUGUGUGUGAGUUUAGCGUAAAUCAAACUUCAGCCUCACAGAUCAAUAAAGACCUCGUCUAAAGCUUUUUUUGGCAGCAGGUCAACUUUCAGGUCGUAAACUCUGCUGGGUAGGUGGACAGAGAGAUAUGACCAUUUCAGGAGUCAUAAAGCCUUUGCAAACGGGCUGAGAUCUAUAAUGAUAUGUAACCGGGAAAAUGUGUGCCACUUACUAGGCUGUUUGGAGUUCUUCCUGUACGAGCUAUUCAUUUUUAAACUGUGUAAACAGGACAUAAUGUCCUAUUACUAAUGUUUUGACAUAAAUUAUUUGUUUAUACAUUGUUUGGAGAUAAAUUGAUUCUAGCGGAUUAAACAAGUGCUUAGCUCGUUUUCUUGCCUAAUUGGAUGUCUUAUCUGUAAAAAAAAAAAUGCAAGAAAUCUGAGGAUGGGAUGUUGAACAUAGACUGUAGUUCAUUGAAUGAAAGAAAGAGAUGUUGAACUUCUUUGAUGCCUCUA